CAGCAUCUUCUCUAUCUUGGUCAUAAUC
rnacentral:sRNA from 1 species